AGAGUUCUUCCCUGUGGUGCCUUCUCACUGAAGAUGGCCUGGGAGCACGGAGAAAAGUAAGACUCUGGUAACUCCAAGCUGGGGCUUCUGCUUGUUCAGCCGCAGGGUGGGAAUGCUCUGCGCUUGGCUGGGGAGUUUCACAGGACAGGAGCAAGCUGAGGCACGAGAUACCUGGGAGAUUUUGUUGAGCUUUGGAUGAGCUAUAUCACUCUUUGAACAUGGGACUUGAAGUGCAUCUAGCUGCUUGUUUUGUUUUGUUUUGUUUUGUUUUGUUUUGUUUUUUCAUCUGGGACCAAGGGAACAAUCAGAAAUCAGGUUUGCUGCCUAGAUGGAUAGCUAGGCAAUGGAGGCUCAGUAGUCCACAGCUGAAAUGCCAGGAGUUGAACAGGAGACAAAGUAGAGUAGCUGAUCAGUGUCACUGGGCCGUACAUCCCUGGGAGAUGGAGAGACAAUGAGUCUCCAGGCCAUCCUUCAUCCUCAUUCCAAACACAAGCUUUGCACACUCCCAGAAGUACUGUCCGAUGAAAU
ensembl:lincRNA Gm13994 predicted gene 13994